GGGCCUAUAGUUCAGUGGUAGAACGCCUCGUUUGCAACGAGGAGGCGGCAGUUCAAUUCUGCCUAGGUCCACUA
rnacentral:tRNA from 1 species